UACGUAGGGUGCGAGCGUUAAUCGGAAUUACUGGGCGUAAAGCGUGCGCAUGCGGUGAGCUGUGUCCGAUGUGAAAGCCCCGGGCUUAACCUGGGAAUGGCAUUGGAAACUGGCUCGCUGGAGUGUGGCAGAGGGGGGUGGAAUUCCGCGUGUAGCAGUGAAAUGCGUAGAGAUGCGGAGGAACACCGAUGGCGAAGGCAGCCCCCUGGGCUAACACUGACGCUCAUGCACGAAAGCGUGGGGAGCAAACAGG
rnacentral:rRNA from 1 species